rnacentral:rRNA from 1 species
AACCUCCGCAAUGUGAGAAAUCGCGACGGGGGGAUCCCAAGUGCCAUUCUUAACGGGAUGGCUUUUCAUUAGUGUAAAGAGCUUUUGGAAUAAGAGCUGGACAAGACCGGUGCCAGCCGCCGCGGUAACACCGGCAGCUCUAGUGGUAACAAUUUUUAUUGGGCCUAAAGCGUCCGUAGCCGGUUUAAUAAGUCUCUGGUGAAAUCCUGUAGCUUAACUGUGGGAAUUGCUGGAGAUACUAUUAGACUUGAGAUCGGGAGAGGUUAGAGGUACUCCCAGGGUAGAGGUGAAAUUCUGUAAUCCUGGGAGGACCGCCUGUUGCGAAGGCGUCUAACUGGAACGAUUCUGACGGUGAGGGACGAAAGUUAGGGGCGCGAACCGGAUUAGAUACCCGGGUAGUCCUAACUGUAAACGAUGCGGACUUGGUGUUGGGGUGGCUUUGAGCUGCUCCAGUGCCGAAGGGAAGCUGUUAAGUCCGCCGCCUGGGAAGUACGGUCGCAAGACUGAAACUUAAAGGAAUU